UGACCUCCUACUGCAAACACCUGCCACUUUCUACCUUGGGGGCCAGCAGGCGCCCAGCUUUGUCUUGGAGCUGGCCAGAAGGGCUAGAGAGUCAAUGUCACCAGGAGCAACCCUCAGUGAUCCAGGAUGAGAGUUGAUGGAUGAGAAGUACCGGAGCACAAGGGAUGAAGUGUGUUGCCCACAGUAGCAAAGCCAUGUCCAUGCCCUUCUUUGCUCCAGGAGAGACUCUAGCAGCUCAGUAAAUGAACUUUAACUCCAUCAAGGCAGCUGGCCUCUCUGUGUGGCAACUUUCUCACCUCAUCCC